GAGUACAUCUGUGAGAGCUGAGGCCGACUUCAGAAAGAGGCAACAGUCUGCUCUACACAGGCUUGGAAGGGGAACGCCGGUGCAGCCCUCAUACCCUGCCUGCACUGUUUUGGGACGUUUAUGAAGAGAGAAUACGUGUAGACAGCUUGGUCUCCUUGUAGGACCUGUUUUUUCCUGAAGCUCUCCUAAGACAGAGGAGUGGAAAGACUGGCCUUUUCACCUUUUCAAGUUGGGCUUUGAAAGUUUGGCUUGUGGGUGUGGUGGAAAGCGGGGAAGGAGCUGUGCUGACGCCAUUCAAGGCAUAAUCUCAAGAUGCUGAUGUCAUUCCUCAACUUUUUUUUUUUUUUUAACUUUCUGGCCAAACCUCACGGCAUGCGGGAUCCCAGUUCCCCGACCAGAACCCACACCCCCUGCAUUGGAAGCGUGGAAUCUUAACCACUGGACCGUCAGGGAAGCCCCCUCAACACAAUAUUGAUGAGAAAAGAACUCGGAGCAGGAGGAAGAAGAGGAGCAUCUCAGAUGGCUUUGAAAAGUGGAGGCUGUCCCCUUUGUUCAGGCUUUUGUCUUGCUGUCUCUAAGCUGAACCUGGUCACAUUUUUUGAGCAAAGAAAGGAGCCCUGGGAUGUGAAGAAAAGGAGACAACACUCAUGCACCCAGGGACACCUGCACAUCUGCUGACACCAGGAACGUGAGGCAGACUGACUGUCCCCCAUUCACAUCUGUGCGGAGCAGGCCUCCCCAGGGCCAAGACCCUCUACUAGGUCUCAGAAAUGAACCUGGAGCCUCCCAGUGUAUACCCAGCCUCGUGAUAGAAUAACCUGGGCCACCUCAUUGAGAUAUCAUUGAUCUUGGGUUCUGCCAAAGACGAAUUGACAGGAGCUCUGGGGGUAGUUCUAAAAAAACACACAAAUGAUCCCAGUGGGGAAUCAAAGAUGAAAAUGACUUUGAACAUUGCUUAUCAGAAUUUCCCAUCUAUAACAAUCACUUAUGGAUCUCAUUAAAAAACAGAUACUAGGGCCCCACACUCAGAGGUUAUGACUCUCCAAAUCUGGGAUGAAGGUCAUUAAUUUACAAUUUGAAUGACCACUGAAGUUGCUUACCCCAGACCUCAUUUCCGGCAGGAUUAAUCUAGAGAAAUCAAGAACAGCGCCUGAGUGCCUUACACACAACCACCCUAUCUGAACACAAAUACUGCUGUUGCCAGUGAAGACCACCACCACCUUCUGAAAAGAUGACAUCCUCUGCUCACCACCUGCCAAUUGAGCAGGACCUGGGGAAAGCAGUGGAGUCUGAGCAAGCCUUUUGUGGGGGACAACAAGUAUUCAUCCUCAAAAGGAAUGUUUCAUGAGGAUCUACUGCGUGCUCACAGGCUCUGCAAGUCUGAUUUUGGAAGAGGGACUAUAUUCUGGAUGGAAACUCUGGAGCAGCAGAGCUGUGCCCACAAUGUUAAGCCUCAGUGAGAAGCAGGAAUCUGGGGCAUCAGAUGGGCUGCUCUGGAGCUGCGACUGAUCCUGAGUGAGCAGCGCCCCUGAUUCCAGUCUGCUCUUGGGGCAGAUGCAUUGUUAGAGGUACUAGAUUCAAGUCACCGUGAGUUUCACUUGCAUUCCCUGUGUGUGCCUGUGUGGAGAAGAAAAGGCAAAAAAGGGAAAGGGUGUCAAAAACCCUAGGCAGGAUAACACCACGAGCUUGGGGGGCCGGGAGCAGUGGGAAGAGACUGCACUGAGAGUCCUCAGCCCUGGUACCCCUGAGCGAGGUGUUAGGGACUAGAGGAGGCGUGUGCUCCACGUGAAAUGUGGCGCUGUGUGUUAGAACAUUAAUUUCUGCCCAUUUCAGGUUUCUAAGAGUUAAUCUGAGCCUCCCUCUUUUAAGUUCCAGCAACCUCAAAUCAAAGGUGGUUAAGAGCACUCGCUCUGCCUGGUGAACUCCUACUCAUCCUUCGAGAACAGCCUCUUGAUUCGUGUCCUACUGCUCUUCUCCCCACUGCUGGUCAUAAAUAGUUGUAAUAUUUCUACAAUCUCCCACUAGACUGUAAACUCCAUGAGGGCCUGAACAAUGUCUUAUACACAGUCAGUUCAGUUCAGUCACUCAAUUGUG